rnacentral:lncRNA from 1 species
UAGCGAGCAUGUAGAUUCUUUUCUUCUCUUCUCUUCUCUUCUCUUCUCUUCUCUUCUCUUCUCUUCUCUUCUCUUCUCUUUUCUUUCUUCUCCUUCUCUUCCUCCUCCUCUUCCUCCUCCUCUUCCUCCUCCUCUCCUCAUGUAUAUGUAUGUAUAUAUAUGUGUGUAUGUAUAUAUGUAUGUAUAUGUGUAUAUAUGUAUGUAUGUAUGUAUAUGUAUGUAUAUCUACAUACUAUAUAUUACACAUUAGAGUGUGUAAUAUUCUCUGGAAGUCCUGUGGAGGAUAUAAAUGAGGAUCACAAAGAGCUCAGGCAGCAGCCCUCAACUUUACUGUCAGUUGAGAUGCUUUUUGAAGACUAAAUUGGGCUGUCCCUGCUGGGGAGGUAGGUGGGACUUUCCAAGGAGCAGGUUAGAGGAGAAAAACACAUAGCGCCAAGUGUGUUGAUGGAUGGCAGAGCCCAGGGUAGAGAGACAUAGGCAGGUACUCUUGUAGCUAUGUCUAGAGAAGUUAAAGCCUACAGAAAAAGUUUGCCAUUCAGGGCAAGGUCUCAAAACCUGAGGCUUCUGAAGAGAGUAAGGAGGGGACAGGGCCCUAGACAUUGCCUGAAGGAAUUGGAAGACCAAGUGGAGAAGAUGAGCACUAGUUCUCGUGGGAUUCAUCUGCAGUACAGGACUUCCAGAUCCUCAUGGAAGCCUCAGGUGAAAGGUGGGCCUGCUCUGCCUUCAGAGAAGCAGUUUAAGAAAGCAGCUUCCCACCCGAAUCUACAGAGUACCAGUCGCUGCCCAAACCCUUGGCAUUCCCAGUGUGGUGUCUUACCGCAUAUGAAACGUAUAAACCAGAACACCUGCUCUGGUGCGCUGAGGUGAACCAAAGUGCAGUCAAACACCAGCCCAGCGCUCAGGGCUCCUCCCCCAUAGUGGGACAGCAUGUGCCACUCAGCUGCAGGAGAGAGUUGGCACGGUCAAAGAACAGAGCAGAUAGCAUCAGCUUCUGCCUCUGUGGUGGGUUAUUCACUGCUGUAGCUGUGCCCAGCACUGUCAUCAGACAGCCCGUGGAUGGAGGAAGCGCCUUCUGGCCUCAUGUGAACAGGGGAGUGUUUCCCUGAAGCCUUCCGACACACCACAUCUCUCUGGACCUGCCCUCAGGCAGGAUGGUACUCAGUGCUACUGAGGACUCGGCUCUCACCAUCGUCCUGUGGAGGCUCGUCCUGAGCCUUUUGGUCUCCUUCCUCCUACAUUCUGCCUUCCCCGUUCUCUGACCUUUACCUCUAUCCCCAGGAGACCAGGUUGAGUCUCCUUAGCAAGACACUGGUGUGGAAGACUCAUUCCAAAGUCAACACCAGACAACUUUAAGUUUUAUUUACUAUUGUAUGUGUUGGGGUAGGGAUGUAUGUUUGUAUGUCAUCACAUGGUGCACGUAUGGAGGUUAGAGGGCAACUCUAUGUAGCUGGUUCUCUCCUCCUACCUUUACGUGAGUUCCAAGACUUGAACUCAAGACUCCAGGUUUCAAAGAGUCUUGAGUUCUAAACCUGCUGAACCAUCUCGACGGCCCACAGCCGAGUUCUGGAUUCAUCUUUGGAAAGCUAACGAGUCACGUGAGCUCGCAAAGGCCAGGCUUACCAACCCGGAUCGGGGAGCUCACAUGUCAGUCUUUCCCGUUAUUGAGAGAAGAGUCUGAAUUAUCCAAAUGCAAACAAUUCUAGAAGCUUUCUGGAGAUGCAGGUUAAACUCCUACAGAGAGGAAUGCCUAGAGUUAUCAACCUCACAAGCCGAAUGUGGCCGACCAAACUGAGGUGCCUGUAAUUACGCUGAGGAGAAGGCACGUCUGGCUCCAUUCUUCUAGAGACCAGCCACCGGCCACCCAGUGUACAAACGCACGCACGCAAGUGACGAUAACCGUAAGUGUUUAUAACAAUAUGCCGAUCGACUUCUUAUUUCAAUAGAUAUCCAGAUUUAUUAUCCCUCAAGGUAAGCAUUGAUUUUACCUUUGUCUCCGUCAAUAUUUACCUCCAAGGUCAAUAUGUGUGGGUAUUCACCUCAGCGCCAGUCAAUAGCUGUUCCGUAUUACAAUAUAUGAUGCUCAUAUGUGAGAAUGGGGAGCCGUGUGGCAUU